AUCAAUCGUCUAUAUCAAACAGAGAGGGAGAGAGGCAGAGAGAGAAACACCUUAAAACACUUAAAGAAGACCUCGAGAGUCAAUCGUAUUUCACCAAUUAAAGAACAAGGGCUCUUUUGAUAAAGUUCAAUGCCGUGCAAGGAAGGUCAGUAUUACGAAGCAGCCAUAAAAAGCUGUAGAUCGUGCACGAUACCAUGCAGUUUAAGUGAAGCUGUUUGCAAAGCGGUAGGCUGCCUACCACGUGAAUUUGGUUACCAAACAAACCCGUCAGCGACGACAACAUCGUCCCUGGUAACCCUGAAUAGCAGUAGCGGCAAUGGCAUUAUGGACGAAGAGGCAGACACUUCAGCAUCCAUCUUGAUACCAUUGACAGCUGCUAUCGUUGUGAUGCUAAGCCUUUUCAUUGUCACCGCGAUUGUUUGUUUCUUCAAGAAAAAAGGGUGUUGUUGGCAUUCAAAUCCCAAAACUUCGAAAACGGUAAAAUGGCCAUCAGAUAAAUACCUACCAACAACCCAGGAAUGUCAAUGCUGCAUUGUCCAAGACCUUGAGAGCCCAAGUUCAAGCGACGAGGAACUUCAGUAUGGACCGUAUAGACUCCGUACAAACUGAUAGCCUAAUGAUAUUGCCUACAGUCGUUUUGUAAAGUAAAGUUUGUUUAUUAGGCACCUAUUCCAUAGAGCUAUACCCUAUACUAUACUAUACGCGAACAAUAGUUUCAUGGUCAUGCACCCUUUGUGAAGCCAUUGUUCGCGUAUAGGCACCUUCCCCAUAGAGGUAUACGGUAUACUACACUAUACGCGAACAAUGGCUUCACAAAGGGUGCAUGACCAUGAAACUAUUGUUCGCGUAUAGUAUAGUAUAGGGUAUAGCUCUAUGGAAUAGGUGCCUCAUAGACAGCUUUUGGCUUAUGAGCCCAAGUGCAAGCGACGAGGAAAUUGAUACUGUAGUCUAUUCAUAAAUGUUAUGUCCGAUCUUUUUGGAUCUAUGUCAGUUGCGGGACUACCGGCAAUGUGUUUAUUCAGAACCAUAUUAUGUAACUUAUUUGUAUGAACAUUAUUUGUUUUUAACGGUUUUGUAUACACGGUAAGUUUACUCGUGGACUCGAAUUUCCAUUCACAGUUUGAAUUUAUCUGUAAGUUUCUACUUAUUUCUGAUUUCUUGUUUCAUGUUCAUGUUCAUAUUUUGUUUAGCAUGGUGAAUGUAUAACGGGUGAUAUUAACGCUAUUGUUGUCUUUUAAGGGCAUUUAUUUAAAGGCUUUAGCCUAUUUACUAUCCCUACUGUGCCAUGUUGUAUUUUGUGAAUAUAAAUGUAUGUCUGAUGUUCAUGUUCAUAUUUUGUUUAGCAUAGUGAAUGUAUAAAGGGUGAUAUUAACGCUAUUGUUGUCUUUUAAGGGCAUUUGUUUAAAGGCUUUAGCCUAUUUACUAUCCCUACUGUGCCAUGUUGUAUUUUGUGAAUAUAAAUUUAUGUCUGAUGUUCAUGUUCAUAUUUUGUUUAGCAUAGUGAAUGUAUAAAGCAAAGUUAAGAUGUUGUUAACCAAACGAGAAGUUGGUACAUUUCAUAUACAUAAUUAGACAAUUAGAUAAUGACUUCAUGACCUCUACUGAUAAAUACAGUCCUAUCCAAGCACUCCUGAACUAAUAUAAUGCAAGGUACGUACAUUUAGGCUGCGGCACCUCUCCAGGGAGUGGUGUUGCAUGGAGUGAAUAACAAUUGGUUGGCCUUUGUUGAUAUUGAUUUUGAGGUCUAGAUAUUGAAAAGUCCAUUAAAAGCGGUUAGAAAAAGACAUUGUCUGCUAAAAAAAAGACGUUACCUAAUUAAGUGUUAGAGGGAAUUUUCUGAAACGAAAGUGAUAACAUCUAAAAUGGUAGAUUGUAAAACGCAGAUGUGAAAAUCAGAAGUUCCAGAUCAAUUCUUCUGCAUCAUUGAUGGUGCAGAAUGCGCCAUUCCUGCACCACAUAUUGUCAAAUACCAUGAUUUCAUCUUCUAGUUUGUAAUAGAGGUAGUCUAUGUUGAUACGGUAUUUUAGAAAUGAUCUAAAGAUCUCUAGCGGAUCGGUGGCUCCUUCACCAAAGAUUUUAUGCACAAGGGCCUAGUAGGCUGCUGCUUGGGCGGUGACAAAAAUGUAAUUGAUGUACCUGUUUGCGAGAGAGGUGAGGGGUAAUAAAGAUAUAUAGUC